GGGAGAUCAGGCUGUGACAUCUGUCACCCGAUUGGUCACCAGGCUUUAUCUGGCUGAUUUGGUUGGCUAGGCAAGUGGCCCCUUCCUAACUGGAGGCUCACGUGCAUUCCUCCCAAAACCAUGCCCUGGGUCAGUAAUGUGAUAUUGUGAAUAUAAGGAUCUGUCUUUUUCAUGCUUAUCUACUUGUAGACACUGCAACUAUCUAGAUUCCAGAAUGGAUGUGCUGAGUUUUUCCAAAUAUCGUUUAGCUUUUUCCAAAAGUACUUUUCCUUGAA
rnacentral:snRNA from 1 species